rnacentral:rRNA from 1 species
UACGUAGGGGGCUAGCGUUGUCCGGAAUCAUUGGGCGUAAAGCGCGUGUAGGCGGUCCGGUAAGUCCGCUGUGAAAGUCGGGGGCUCAACCCUCGGAUGCCGGUGGAUACUGUCGGGCUUGAGUACGGAAGAGGCGAGUGGAAUUCCUGGUGUAGCGGUGAAAUGCGCAGAUAUCAGGAGGAACACCGAAUGGCGAAGGCAGAUCUCUGGGCCGUAACUGACGCUGAGGAGCGAAAGCAUGGGGAGCGAACAGG